AUUGAACGCUGGCGGCAGGCCUAACACAUGCAAGUCGAGCGAGCGGCGGACGGGUGCGUAAUGUCUAGGAAACUGCCGGAUGGAGGGGGAUAACUACUGGAAACGGUAGCUAAUACGGCAUACCAUCAGAUGUGCCCAGAUGGGGUUAGCUGGUAGGUGGGGUAACGGCUCACAUAGGCGACGAUCCCUAGCUGGUCGGAGAGGAUGACCAGCCACACUGGAACUGAGACACGGUCCAGACUCCUACGGGAGGCAGCAGUGGGGAAUAUUGCACAAUGGGCGCAAGCCUGAUGCAGCCAUGCCGCGUGUGUGAAGAAGGCCUUCGGGUUGUAAAGCACUUUCAUCGGGGAGGCGUUACCCGCAGAAGAAGCACCGGCUAACUACGUGCCAGCAGCCGCGGUAAUUC
rnacentral:rRNA from 1 species